CAUCCAGUUGAAAAGAGAAGUGAUGGCUCUCAGUCCCGUGGUGACAGUGUUUGGCCCGAGAGCUCUGAGGGCCUGUGUUUGCCUUGCUCGGUAAAUAUUGAGUGAGUAAACAGAGCCUGAGUGGGCUCUAGAAUAAGUUUCUCUUGUCACUCUGGAGCCCGUGCCUUUUCAAGUGAUCAGCAUCUUCCACUUCCUUAAGCAUGUUGCUAAUAUCUGUGAUGGUGUAGUGUUUUAUCAGAGCCGAAGUCUUGGUAUGUGGCCCAGACUAACAUCAAAUUCACUGUAUAGCCUAAUGUGACCUCAGAUUGGCAGCAACCUUCCUUUCGGCUUCCUGAGCACUGGAAUUACAAGAUGAAAUAGGACCAACUUCCUCACAUUCCUCCCUUCACAGAUUCCUCAUCAUAAUGGACUGCUCCCUCAGACUGUGAGGAAGGAGAGACAUAACCCUUUGGAAGUGAGUUGGGAGCCUAGCUGUGAUUAGACCCAAGAUAUGAUCAGUGUCCUGCUCAGCCAUCACCAGAGAACCUUCCCACCUCGGCAAAUGGGAACAAACACAGAGACCCACAGUCAGACAUCAUGCGGAGAGCGAGAGACGUUGGAAUACUCAGUACAGAACUGGAUAUCCUCGUCCAAUCCCUCCCCUAAGGGCUCAGAGAAGCCCAUGGAAGACGAGGCAGAGAGAAUGUAACAGCCAGAGGGGAUGAAGAACCCAAGGAAACAAGGCCAUCUGAACCAUCAAGACAGAUGCACACAUGAACUCACAGAGACUGAGGUAGCAUGCACCGAGCCUUCAAAGUGGGCAUGUGAUAGGGUUCAGGUGCUGAAAGGAGAAAUGGAUACAUGUCCCCAUCCCUAACCUAGAAGCUAUCUCCCACUGAUAACCACUUUCAAAUAAAAGUUUUUUUUUUCCAAAGGAGUCUCACUGGAGAAACAAACUACUCUUAAGGGGAGGGGCAUGACCAGCUGCAGACGCCAACAGUCGGUGAACUCACAGGCAUUGGUGGAGGUCCCUGUCUCAGUGUCACGUCAGGGCCUUUUCUUCUCUUUUAUUAGUUUUAAACUUUACCUUUUUUAUUCUUUAUAUUUAUAAUAAAGGAUCUACAGGUCCUUUGCAUAUACAUUACAGGAUCUGGUUUUACGUUUUUAUGGAAAGUUUGAGCAGACAAAUGAGUGGCUCUUAUGUCUUUUCUUGGGCUCUUUUCCUUCUGUUUGUAUUCUCCUAUUCUGAUUUGUUUCUAUUUUAUCAUAUUAUAUUAUAUCGUUUCAUAUAAUAUUCCCUUAUACACAGGGAAACAGAAAGAAAGUGGAUCAGGAUGGGAAGGAAUGUGGGCAGGAACAGGGCAGAGUAGGAGGAAAGAAACUGUAAUGAAGGUAUGUUGUAUGAAAACAAUCCAUUCUCAAUAAAAGGAAAAAAUCACAAA
rnacentral:sRNA from 1 species